rnacentral:rRNA from 1 species
UACAGAGGUCUCAAGCGUUGUUCGGAUUCAUUGGGCGUAAAGGGUGCGUAGGUGGCGCUGUAAGUCGGGUGUGAAAUUUCGGAGCUUAACUCCGAAACUGCAUUCGAUACUGCGGUGCUUGAGGACUGGAGAGGAGACUGGAAUUCAUGGUGUAGCAGUGAAAUGCGUAGAGAUCAUGAGGAAGACCAGUGGCGAAGGCGGGGUCUCUGGGACAAGUUCCUGACGUGAGGCACGAAGGCCAGGGGAGC